UUUUAUAUGUUACAUAAAAAAGAAGAUUAAUGCUUCAAUUUAAAACUUUGCUUUUGAAUGUAUUGUUAACUAAUAGUAUCUGUUGUCAAUUUUAUUAUGACACAACAUACAAAUCAGAUAAUUCAUUGGUUUAUUCCUUGCAAAAGACUUAUCCUGCUGCACAUUAUGAAGCCUUUUUGAGAUGUCUUCAAUCUACCCAGCUUAUUUUAUUUAUUUUUAUUACUUUUUUUAUCUUUAACAACAUCAUCUGCAAUGAGUGGUAAGUUUAGCAAUUAUUAAUUUUUAAUUUUUGCAUUUCUUGACACUUCCAAAUUUAUUUUUUACUAAAACUUUUUAGCUCUAGUUCCAUCCUCAAAUGCAUUGAGUGGUAAGCUUAAAAAUAUUUUUAUUGCAUCCUUCAAAAAACCUGUGCAUGUAUGUAUGUAUUUCGGAUCAAUUGCAAUAUUUCUUUUUUAUUAGAUUUUUUUUUAACUUACUUCCAUCUACAUCUGCAAUAAUUGGUAUGUUUACAAACUUUCACUUUUCAAUAUGUUUAUGCAUUUCUUGGCAAUCACAAUAUUUAUUUUUACUUCAACUUUGUUAGCCUUUAGUUACAUCUUCAGCUGCUACAAGAGGUAAGUUUAUAAACUAUUAAUUUCUAAUAUGUGUAUGCAUAUCUUAUCGAUAGCAAGUAAAUUGUAAUUUUAUUUUUAAAAAAUUUUACCUUGAGUCCCACAACCUCCACAACAACUACAGAUUUAGGGUCCAGUACCCUAGACCAAUUAGUAAUCGUUCAUUUUUGCGGUGGGUCCGGUUAUGAGGGAGAAAUGGUGAAUCAUUCAGCUGGGUCUAUCAUCCUCCUAACAGGGGUGCUGGGAGCUACAGCAGAAGAGGAAGCCAUGGAGGAGGUUGUGGGCAAAGACAGAAUGGUGGCGGCCUUGUCGUGAAUGGUGGCAUCCACUAUUACUAGGCGCCAUCAUGCCUGUUUUUUUUUUAAAUAAAUAUAUAACAUUAUCAAGUUUGUUUUCCAUUUUGUCCCAAUUUUUACAAUUAUUAACAUUUGAUUUAUUUAUUUUAAAUCUUUCAUAAAAUGAUUUAAAAACGAAGCAUUGACAGGUGUAAUAGUUUGCAAGGGAUCUAUUUUUUAUGUUUUCAAUGUGAUUAAAAGUUGUAGUUUAGAAAGUAUUAAAGUUGUAACUAUAAAUAGUUAUAGAGUUUUUAAUGCGUUUAGGAUUUUUUGAGGUUUUGAGUUUUUGAGGUUUUCUCAUAGCACAUAUUAAAUGUAGUUUCAAAUUUAUAUGUAAUGUUUUAUAGAGUUAAUAAAUGUUAAAUAUCUUUGCAUACCUAAUUACUAUUCUUUAUUUUAUUUUAGUUUAUGUACUGUUUUUUUGAGUUAAGAAAUAUUAUUUGAUUAUAGACCAGUUUAAUUGUUUGAUUUUAAACCAGUUUAACUUGUUUACAGUUCCUAAAUAUUAUAUUUACGUAACCAUUACUUGUUUGUAGAAGGUAUGUAUGAGAUUUUUUUUUACAUGUUUUAUUAUAAUGUUAUUAAUAAUUAACAAGUUUUUAUAUAUUGUUUGUUUACUUUUCAAAAAAUUUAAUUAAAA